AACGAACGUUAGCGGCGCGCUUAACACAUGCAAGUCGCACGAGAAAGGGCUUCGGCCCCGGUAAAGUGGCGCACGGGUGAGUAACACGUGGAUAAUCUUCCCUCGGGCGGGGGAUAACCUUCCGAAAGGAGGGCUAAUACCGCAUAAGACCACGACUCCGAAAGGAGAUGAGGUCAAAGCCGGCCUCUAUUCAUAAGCUGGCACCUGAGGAUGAGUCCGCGGCCCAUCAGCUAGUUGGCAGGGUAAUGGCCUACCAAGGCGAAGACGGGUAGCUGGUCUGAGAGGAUGAUCAGCCACACUGGAACUGAGACACGGUCCAGACUCCUACGGGAGGCAGCAGUGGGGAAUCUUGCGCAAUGGGCGAAAGCCUGACGCAGCGACGCCGCGUGAGUGAUGAAGGCCUUCGGUUGUAAGCUCUGUGGGAGGAGACGAAUUAGUAGAGGCGUAAUA
rnacentral:rRNA from 1 species